UACGUAGGGUGCAAGCGUUAAUCGGAAUUACUGGGCGUAAAGCGUGCGCAGGCGGCUAUGCAAGACAGAUGUGAAAUCCCCGGGCUCAACCUGGGAACUGCAUUUGUGACUGCAUGGCUAGAGUACGGUAGAGGGGGAUGGAAUUCCGCGUGUAGCAGUGAAAUGCGUAGAUAUGCGGAGGAACCCCGAGGGCGAAGGCAAUCCCCUGGACCUGUACUGACGCUCAUGCACGAAAGCGUGGGGAGCAAACAGG
rnacentral:rRNA from 1 species